rnacentral:scRNA from 1 species
AUGGCAUUUAUUUUUAUUCAGUUUCUUCUCAAGAUGAAGAUAACUCUUUGUAAAUGCCCUAAAGUCACGUCU